GCGAACGCUGGCGGCAGGCUUCACACAUGCAAGUCGAGCGGGCAUCCUUGUGGUGUCAGCGGCAGACGGGUGAGUAACGCGUGGGAACGUGCCCUUCGGUUCGGAAUAACUCAGGGAAACUUGAGCUAAUACCGGAUACGUGCGAGAGCAGAAAGGUUUAUCUGCCGAAGGAUCGGCCCGCGUCUGAUUAGCUAGUUGGUGAGGUUAUGGCUCACCAAGGCGACGAUCAGUAGCUGGUCUGAGAGGAUGAUCAGCCACACUGGGACUGAGACACGGCCCAGACUCCUACGGGAGGCAGCAGUGGGGAAUAUUGGACAAUGGGGGCAACCCUGAUCCAGCCAUGCCGCGUGAGUGAUGACGGCCUUAGGGUUGUAAAGCUCUUUUCUCCGGGACGAUAAUGACGGUACCGGAGGAAUAAGCCCCGGCUAACUUCGUG
rnacentral:rRNA from 1 species